rnacentral:rRNA from 1 species
GAUCAUGGCUCAGGAUGAACGCUAGCUACAGGCUUAACACAUGCAAGUCGAGGGGGCGAGCAUGGUCUUAGCUUGCUAAGGCUGAUGGCGACCGGCGCACGGGUGAGUAACACGUAUCCAACCUGCCGUCUACUCUUGGCCAGCCUUCUGAAAGGAAGAUUAAUCCAGGAUGGGAUCAUGAGUUCACAUGUCCGCAUGAUUAAAGGUAUUUUCCGGUAGACGAUGGGGA